UGCUUCGGUGCACGUUUCUGGAAAUGAGAAGUUAAUUUCCACUCCUGAUUACUCCCACCCCAGCCCCACUUUGGAAAGGGAUCUUCUCUCCAGUGGCUUCCCUGAUGCUACUGCAGUUGCUAAGCAACAUGGAGCUAAGCAGAAGCAAAAUGUAAUUGUCCCAGGAAGGGAAUUCCAGGUCUACAAAGGCUGGAUUGUAGUUUGGGAAACUGCCUUCCUGGCUGCAAGAAAUUCAGUAAAAGAAGCAUUCUUGGCAUGUGGUUCCUCAUGGAUGCUCCAAGAGAGUGGUUUUUGA
rnacentral:lncRNA from 12 species